rnacentral:rRNA from 1 species
UACGAAGGGGGCUAGCGUUGCUCGGAUUGACUGGGCGUAAAGGGCGCGUAGGCGGUUCGUACAGUCAGACGUGAAAUUCCUGGGCUCAACCUGGGGGCUGCGUUUGAUACGUGCGGACUUGAGUGCGGAAGAGGGUCGUGGAAUUCCCAGUGUAGAGGUGAAAUUCGUAGAUAUUGGGAAGAACACCGGUGGCGAAGGCGGCGACCUGGUCCGAUACUGACGCUGAGGCGCGAAAAGCGUGGGGAGCAAACAGG